rnacentral:snRNA from 1 species
AACUCUUUCUAGCGGAGAGUGU